AUUGAACGCUGGCGGCAGGCCUAACACAUGCAAGUCGGGCGGUAGAGAGAAGCUUGCUUCUCUUGAGAGCGGCGGACGGGUGAGUAAUGCCUAGGAAUCUGCCUGGUAGUGGGGGAUAACGUUCGGAAACGGACGCUAAUACCGCAUACGUCCUACGGGAGAAAGCAGGGGACCUUCGGGCCUUGCGCUAUCAGAUGAGCCUAGGUCGGAUUAGCUAGUUGGUGAGGUAAUGGCUCACCAAGGCGACGAUCCGUAACUGGUCUGAGAGGAUGAUCAGUCACACUGGAACUGAGACACGGUCCAGACUCCUACGGGAGGCAGCAGUGGGGAAUAUUGGACAAUGGGCGAAAGCCUGAUCCAGCCAUGCCGCGUGUGUGAAGAAGGUCUUCGGAUUGUAAAGCACUUUAAGUUGGGAGGAAGGGUUGUAGAUUAAUACUCUGCAAUUUUGACGUUACCGACAGAAUAAGCACCGGCUAACUCUGUGCCAGCAGCCGCGGUAAUACAGAGGGUGCAAGCGUUAAUCGGAAUUACUGGGCGUAAAGCGCGCGUAGGUGGUUUGUUAAGUUGGAUGUGAAAUCCCCGGGCUCAACCUGGGAACUGCAUUCAAAACUGACUGACUAGAGUAUGGUAGAGGGUGGUGGAAUUUCCUGUGUAGCGGUGAAAUGCGUAGAUAUAGGAAGGAACACCAGUGGCGAAGGCGACCACCUGGACUAAUACUGACACUGAGGUGCGAAAGCGUGGGGAGCAAACAGG
rnacentral:rRNA from 1 species